GACGAACGCUGGCGGCGUGCUUAACACAUGCAAGUCGAACGGAAAGGCCCUGCUUUUGUGGGGUGCUCGAGUGGCGAACGGGUGAGUAACACGUGAGUAACCUGCCCUUGACUUUGGGAUAACUUCAGGUAACUGGGGCUAAUACCGGAUAGGAGCUCCUGCUGCAUGGUGGGGGUUGGAAAGUUUCGGCGGUUGGGGAUGGGCUCGCGGCUUAUCAGCUUGUUGGUGGGGUAGUGGCUUACCAAGGCUUUGACGGGUAGCCGGCCUGAGAGGGUGACCGGCCACAUUGGGACUGAGAUACGGCCCAGACUCCUACGGGAGGCAGCAGUGGGGAAUAUUGCACAAUGGGCGGAAGCCUGAUGCAGCAACGCCGCGUGCGGGAUGACGGCCUUCGGGUUGUAAACCGCUUUCGCCUGUGACGAAGCGUGAGUGACGGUAAUGGGUAAAGAAGCACCGGCUAACUACGUG
rnacentral:rRNA from 1 species